UCUGGACGCUCGGCUGCCAGCGC
rnacentral:miRNA from 1 species